rnacentral:rRNA from 1 species
GAGUUUGAUCAUGGCUCAGAUUGAACGCUGGCGGCAGGCUUAACACAUGCAAGUCGAACGAUGAUUACUAGCUUGCUAGUAUGAUUAGUGGCGAACGGGUGAGUAAUGCUUAGGAAUCUGCCUAUUAGUGGGGGACAACAUUCCGAAAGGAAUGCUAAUACCGCAUNCGUCCUACGGGAGAAAGCAGGGGAUCUUUUGACCUUGCGCUAAUAGAUGAGCCUAAGUCGGAUUAGCUAGUUGGUGGGGUAAAGGCCUACCAAGGCGACGAUCUGUAGCUGGUCUGAGAGGAUGAUCAGCCACACUGGGACUGAGACACGGCCCAGACUCCUACGGGAGGCAGCAGUGGGGAAUAUUGGACAAUGGGCGAAAGCCUGAUCCAGCCAUGCCGCGUGUGUGAAGAAGGCCUUUUGGUUGUAAAGCACUUUAAGUGGGGAGGAAAAGCUAAUAAUUAAUACCUAUUAGCCCUGACG